rnacentral:rRNA from 1 species
AGAGGGUAAAAGCCCCGUAGUCGAAAGUUCAUUCUCUCUUGAGUGUAUCCUGAGUACGGCGGAACACGUGAAAUUCCGUCGGAAUCCGGGAGGACCAUCUCCCAAGGCUAAAUACUCCCUAGUGACCGAUAGUGAACCAGUACCGUGAGGGAAAGGUGAAAAGCACCCCGGGAGGGGAGUGAAAUAGAACCUGAAACCGUGUGCCUACAAGUAGUUAGAGCCCGUUAAUGGGUGAUAGCGUGCCUUUUGUAGAAUGAACCGGCGAGUUACGAUUACGUGCAAGGUUAAGUCGAGAAGAUGGAGCCGUAGCGAAAGCGAGUCUGAAUAGGGCGGUAUUAAGUACGUGGUCGUAGACCCGAAACCAGGUGAUCUACCCAUGUCCAGGGUGAAGGUGAGGUAACACUCACUGGAGGCCCGAACCCACGCACGUUGAAAAGUGCGGGGAUGAGGUGUGGGUAGCGGAGAAAUUCCAAUCGAACUUGGAGAUAGCUGGUUCUCUCCGAAAUAGCUUUAGGGCUAGCCUCGUGAUUAAGAAUACUGGAGGUAGAGCACUGUUUGGACUAGGGGCCCAUCUCGGGUUACCGAAUUCAGACAAACUCCGAAUGCCAGAUAUUUAUACACGGGAGUCAGACUGCGAGUGAUAAGAUCCGUAGUCAAAAGGGAAACAGCCCAGACCACCAGCUAAGGUCCCAAAGUAAUCGUUAAGUGGAAAAGGAUGUGGCGUUGCUUAGACAACCAGGAUGUUGGCUUAGAAGCAGCCAUCAUUUAAAGAGUGCGUAAUAGCUCACUGGUCGAGUGACGCUGCGCCGAAAAUGUAUCGGGGCUAAACGAUUCACCGAAGCUGUGGAUGGACAUCUUUGAUGUCCGUGGUAGGAGAGCGUUCUAAGGGCGUUGAAGUCAGACCGGAAGGACUGGUGGAGCGCUUAGAAGUGAGAAUGCCGGUAUGAGUAGCGAAAGAUGGGUGAGAAUCCCAUCCACCGUAUGACUAAGGUUUCCUGAGGAAGGCUCGUCCGCUCAGGGUUAGUCGGGACCUAAGUCGAGGCCGAUAGGCGUAGACGAUGGACAACAGGUUGAUAUUCCUGUACCACCUCCCCGCCGUUUGAGUAAUGGGGGGACGCAGUAGGAUAAGGUAAGCGCGCUGUUGGAUAUGCGCGCCCAAGCA